AUGCCUCCUAUGGUCCACUGUGAUCUGAAGCCUAGCAAUGUCCUUCUGGAUGAUGUCAUGGGCGCAUGUGUCGGUGACUUUGGGUUGGCUAAGUUCCUACAUGGUUAUUCUUCUUCUUCUGGGAUAGAUGGUUCUACUUGUACAAGCUUAGUGGGGCCAAGAGGAUCAGUUGGAUACAUUGCACCAGAAUAUGGCUAUGGAAGCAAAAUCUCGACGGAGGGUGAUGUUUACAGCUAUGGAGUCAUCAUCUUAGAGAUGCUCACAGGGAAGCGUCCAACUGAUGAGUUGUUUAAAGAUGGCCUGAGCCUCUACAAAUUUGUGGAAGAUUCAUUUCCUGAAAAGAUUGGGGAGAUUCUAGAUCCUAGAAUGAUCAUCCCCUAUUAUGGGAACCGAGAUGAAGAAGAAGCAGGCAGUUCUUCAGACCAGGAAAAUCAUCAAAUUGCUGCUGGAAUAAUGGGCUGCAUCACAGCUCUUGCUAAGCUUGGCUUGCUGUGCGCUGCGGAGACGCCUAAAGAUCGCCCAGCAAUGCAGGACGUCUACGCUGAUGCCAUCACAAUCAAAGAAGAAUUUUCAGCACUGCAGGGCUGA
rnacentral:rRNA from 1 species